GUGGGGAAUAUUCCGCAAUGGACGAAAGUCUGACGGAGCAACGCCGCGUGAGUGUUGAAGGUUUUCGGACUGUAAAGCUCUGUUGUUUAGGACGAAAGUGCCUGUUGCGAACAGUUACAGGUAUUGACGGUACUAAACGAGGAAGCCACGGCUAACUACGUGCCAGCAGCCGCGGUAAUACGUAGGUGGCAAGCGUUGUCCGGAAUUAUUGGGCGUAAAGAGCAUGUAGGCGGAGAUUUAAGUCUGUUGUGAAAAUGCGGGGCUCAACCCCGUAUUGCGAUGGAAACUGAAUUUCUUGAGUGCAGGAGAGGAAAGGGGAAUUCCCAGUGUAGCGGUGAAAUGCGUAGAUAUUGGGAGGAACACCAGUGGCGAAGGCGCCUUUCUGGACGAUGUCUGACGCUGAGGCGCGAAAGCUAGGGGAGCGAACGGGAUUAGAUACCCUAGUAGUCC
rnacentral:rRNA from 1 species